rnacentral:rRNA from 1 species
UGGGGAAUAUUGCACAAUGGGCGCAAGCCUGAUGCAGCCAUGCCGCGUGUGUGAAGAAGGCCUUCGGGUUGUAAAGCACUUUCAGCGAGGAGGAAGGUGGUGAGCUUAAUACGCUCAUCAAUUGACGUUACUCGCAGAAGAAGCACCGGCUAACUCCGUGCCAGCAGCCGCGGUAAUACGGAGGGUGCAAGCGUUAAUCGGAAUUACUGGGCGUAAAGCGCACGCAGGCGGUUUGUUAAGUCAGAUGUGAAAUCCCCGGGCUCAACCUGGGAACUGCAUUUGAAACUGGCAAGCUAGAGUCUCGUAGAGGGGGGUAGAAUUCCAGGUGUAGCGGUGAAAUGCGUAGAGAUCUGGAGGAAUACCGGUGGCGAAGGCGGCCCCCCUGGACGAAGACUGACGCUCAGGUGCGAAAGCGUGGGGCAGCAAACAGGAUUAGAUACCCUGGUAGUCCACGCUGUAAACGAUGUCGAUUUGGAGGUUGUGCCCUUGAGGCGUGGCUUCCGGAGCUAACGCGUUAAAUCGACCGCCUGGGGAGUACGGCCGCAAGGUUAAAACUCAAAUGAAUUGACGGGUC